CCGAAAGGCAGGAGUGCCUGCAAGGGAGCGCGGAGACAGGUGGUGCAUGGCUGUCGUCAGCUCGUGUCGUGAGAUGUUGGGUUAAGUCCCGCAACGAGCGCAACCCUCACCUCUUGUUGCCAUCAGGUCAUGCUGGGCACUCUAGAGGAACUGCCCCGGUCAACGGGGAGGAAGGCGGGGAUGACGUCAAGUCAUCAUGCCCCUUACGUCCUGGGCUACACACGUGCUACAAUGGCCGGUACAAAGGGAUGCCACACCGCGAGGUAGAGCUAAACCCAAAAAGCCGGUCUAAGUUCGGAUUGGAGUCUGCAACUCGACUCCAUGAAGGAGGAAUCGCUAGUAAUCGCGUAUCAGCACGACGCGGUGAAUACGUUCCCGGGCAUUGUACACACCGCCCGUCACACCACGAAAGCCAG
rnacentral:rRNA from 1 species